AAUGAAAUGAAGAGAAUCUAUUGUUUCCAUAUAAAGUGAACUUAAAUUGUUAGUGAAAAUUCUGACAAGCGUUUAAAAGACGAGAAGACCCCAUAAAACUUAAUUUGAUCUCUUUUUCAAGGGUUUAAAAUUUAAAUGGGGACUUUAGAGUAUAAUAAUAACUCAAAGACCUAUUUCUAUAAUAUUAGCGAAGCUACUUUGGGGAUAACAGGGUAAAGUAUUUAGAGAGUUCAUAUCGAUAAA
rnacentral:rRNA from 1 species